ensembl:lncRNA
GGCGGAGUGGGGCGCAGCCGGAGUGCCUCUCCAGUUAGGGUUCCAGGCCCUGGAGUAAGGCAACGUAAGCAGAAGGAAGGAAGGGGUCCCCGGAACCCAGGAAGGAGCCGAAGCGAGAAUUAAGCCCAGGAGGCGAGAAGAGAGCUUCCAAAGAAGAAGUUGGAGGUACUGGUGGCGGCCCUACCUGCGCCGGGAUCCCAGAGGAAGGGCAGCUCACCCGCAGGCCGCCGAGGCCCGGGACCCCAGGCCUCCCGGAGAAACGCCCGGGAGUGGGCGGCGAUGAGCGGAAGGCAGGCGUGGGUGAGCUGGGGUCCGGACGCCCACAGAGGACCCGCCUCUGUCCAUCCAGGAGAGGCCUGCCGAGCUCUAGCGCAGGUGUCGGGCUCAGGCCCUACGGGCUGGAAGCGGCCCGUACCUGGGGAGCUGGAGCUUCUCACAGUCACCUGAAAUAAAGGCGCUGCUUUCCUCACCACAGCCUGAGAUGACCUAUAGAUGUUACUGCACUCGGUGCACGCUACUGAUGUAACGUAAGGAUCCUUCUAGCUGGGAGAAACCCUGAAAACUCUUUGCCAAGUGACAGAAAUCGAAAGAAACACGACACCUUUCGGAAACAGGAAGUUACCUCACACUUGAAGGUUCAGUAGCAUAACUGUGAUGGGGAAGCAGCUGUCUUUGCCAAACUUCUCAUAUAUCACCAACCAGAAAUGCAUCUUCAGUGUCAAAUAAUUGUUAUUUUUUCAAUAGAAGAUAAUUGGAAAUUCUCUGAAAUAUAUCUGACUUAGAAGGCAAGACAGAGUUUGUUAUUAUUUCGGAGGAUUUCUGGUACUAAAUAACAGCAGAGUUGAAAAAUCUAAGAAGCAAGGUGCCAUGUUGUGAACCACCAGAUGGAGACAGUCAUACAGAAAGGAGCCUAGGGUGACCUUCAGCCAACAACCGGGCAAGAAUUCAGUCCCUCAGCUUGGCAGCAUGUAAGGAAUUGAAAGCUGCCAACAGCCUGAGGAAGCUCUUACCUCAAAUGUUCUCACAGUCCCAGUCAAUAUUUCAAUCCAGAAAUGAGCAGAAGAAAAGCAGAUGGAAGAAAAACAGGAGUGAAAGAAGAAGAAAGAAUGAUAUGGUGAAAAAUAGAAAAAAGGUCUACCCACUGUCUGGGAAGCCCUGUGCUCUGCUCUGCUGGUUGUCUUCAUUAUUGUGUACCCCGUCUUGAAAAUCAAAUGCAUAAAUUUGGGGAAGAGGUCUUUUCUGAAAGAUUGGCUAGAUGAAAUUGACAAUUUUUAUUGAUUAUCCUGGUAUCAAUAAGAGGUUGAUACAAAAUUGUCAAGAUGAUCCAGGUAAGAAUAAAAAGAUAGGCAAUAAAGCAGUUAUAUUUUAGUUUAAUAUUGUAUUCUAAAGAAAUCAAAAUAACAAGUGAUUGUGAAAUAAUUUUCUAUAUGCUUAUUACUCAAAUUAAGCCAAUUGUUUGUAUUAACUCCCAGUCUAAUUCUAAAUAAAGUCUUCAAGCUUCGGUUAUUUACCAUUUAUAAACUGUAUAAAAAAAGUAAUUUCAGAAACUCAAAUUUUUGUUUAUUGGAGUUAGUAAUUGCUAAUGCAAGGAUUUUGAGAAUUAAGAACUCACAAUUUUGAAUUUUUUAAAAAAUUUGAAAACUUAC